AUGAAACCAAUACACUUCCUUCCCCGCUAAGGGUGCAGCUCAGUGGGGGAGGCUGACAUUGAGUAACACAAACCCAGAAAGCUGUGGGAACAGUGGCAAGUAUGCUUAGAACUAGGGGGCUUGGUCCAAUCCAGGGGCUGAAGAGGGCUUUGGUGAGAAGGAAGGACUGAGUUAAACACGCCCUGAUCGCAGUCCGAGAAGAUCUUUGGUCCUGAUACAGCUCCCAGUCAUAUUUUGCUCAAAUACUAUUCUCAACUCCCCACAUACAGAUCAGCCCAUUCUUCCUCCGGCCUUCGUACAACUCCAGACUCAAUCUCAGGGGAGCCUGUCUCCACCAUCCUACCAAAGAGCCUCCGUUGGGGCUGGGGAGCAGCACAGAGGUAAAGCAUUUGCCUGCCAUGCAUGGGCCCUGGAUUUGAUUUAUAGCACCCCUAAAAUAAGAUAAAUGAGCAAUCUCUUUCUACCACUCACCUUGAUCAUUCCAUUCACCCACUCUAUCCCAUAAUUCUAACUUAUCUAUGACAAGCUCUCUCUGUAUUUGGUUGUUAAGGACUGUGUUUACUGCUCUCUCUUCCUUUGGACUGAAUGCUUAAUGAGAGCAAGCCUCUGCUUCCCCAGGGCCUACACUGGGCGGUACAUUAACAAACACACAUGUGUCUAAUGCAGAAUGAACAGCUGAGAGAGGGACUAGCCAGCUCAACCACAGGCAGUACAGGAGACCAGAAGCUGAACUCAGGCACGAAAAGACUCUUCUCAGAGUCCUUGCCUUGCAUCUGAGAGAGCCAUUGAUCUUCCAAAGCCUUUAACCUAAUUUGAACCCCAGCUUCCUCUUCAGGAGCUGUGAGGGAUGGGUGUGGAAACUCAGUGGACUCCGCCUAACCUGUAUCAUACCAGGGCCUGGCAUCUCCUGGCAGAAUGUAGAGGAAUAUCUUCGUGUGACUGAUUCAUGUAUAUUUCCAUUUGUCAAGCAACUCCUGAGCUCCUAGGGGCUGGGGUCUAUAUAAGGAGGCAGGGGUUUAAUCCAUGGUUUAAUUGGGGAAUAAUUAGUAAGCAAUGCUAACCAGCCCUUUAUUAGUCAUGGUUCUGAUGAGCUGAAAUGAAGCAAGGCUGAACACAAAAAUUCCAUUAACUCUAGCCAUGUCUACACCCAAUGUCAGCCGUGUCUACACCUCAUGUCAGCCAUGUCGUUUGAUGCUUUGAAACAAGCUGCCUUUCAUUUAUUGCAGUCAUUAAUUUUGUAGGGAGAGGCAAAGAACUUGCAUCUCUAAGCGUGCGAGCAAUAACCACAGUUGAAGACAACCUAUUGGUUGGUUUAUAUUUUCAGAGUCAGGGGUUCUCAGCAUAAUAAAAAUUUCAUAAAGGGCAAAAGAGAAGUAGCCCAGGCUAGAACAAUAAAGAAGACCCCAGGUUUCAUGCUUGCUAAGAGACUUUUUAUUUUAUUGUAUUUUUUAUCUCACCUGUUAUUCAAACACAAUUGGGAAUCCUGUGAAUGGUAUAGUCUGGAUAACCAGGACAUCAGUAGAAACAGGACACCAUCUACUGGGGCUGGAGAGAUGGCUCAGUGAUGGCUCUUCCAGAGGUCCUGAGUUCAAAUCCCAGCAACCACAUGGUGGCUCACAACCAUCCGUAAUGAGAUUG